rnacentral:piRNA from 1 species
UAUGAACUAACCUUUCCACCUUCCCU